rnacentral:tRNA from 1 species
UGCAUUAUUCUAAAUGGUUUUAUUGUUUUUAUAUAUUCUGAUCAACACUAAUAAAUGCUAUUAUAUUCGGGCUUACAACCCGAAGGUCGUAGGUUCAAAUCCUGCCCCCGCAACCA